ensembl:snRNA
AUGCUGUAUGAACGGAGAGAAGGUUAGCACUCCCCUUGACAAGGAUGGAAGAGGCCUUUGGGCCUGACAACACGCAUACAGUUGCGGCAUUGCCACCUACUUCAUAGCACCUAACCACUGUUUGGG